rnacentral:rRNA from 1 species
GGUUUGAUUAUGGCUCAGAUUGAACGCUGGCGGGAUGCUUUACACAUGCAAGCCGAACGGCAGCACGGACUUCGGUCUGGUGGCGAGUGGCGAACGGGUGAGUAAUGUAUCGGAACGUGCCUAGUAGCGGGGGAUAAUCAUUGUUAGAAAGCGGCUAAUACCGCAUACGCCUCGGGGGAAAGCGGGGGGACCUUCGGGCCUCGCACUAUUAGAGCGGCCGAUAUCGGAUUAGCUAGUUGGUGGGGUAACGGCUCACCAAGGCGACGAUCCGUAGCUGGUUUGAGAGGACGACCAGCCACACUGGGACUGAGACACGGCCCAGGGCUCCUACGGGAGGCAGCAGUGGGGAAUUUUGGACAAUGGGGGAAACCUCCUGAUCCAGCCAUCCCGCGUGUGCGAUGAAGGCCUUCGGGUUGUAAAGCACUUUUGGCAGGAAAGAAACGGCACGGGAUAAUACCCCCGUGCAACUGGAUUUUUACCUUUGCAGAAUAAGCACCGGCCACCAUGCCAGCAGCCGCGUACGUAGGGUGCAAGCGUUAAUCGGAAUUACUGGGCGUAAAGCGUGCGCAGGUGGUUCGGAAAGAAAGAUGUGAAAUCCCAGAGCUUAACUUUGGAACUGCAUUUUUAACUACCGAGCUAGAGUGUGUCAGAGGGAGGUGGAAUUCCCGCGUGUAGCAGUGAAAUGCGUAGAUAUGCGGAGGAACACCGAUGGCGAAGGCAGCCUCCUGGGAUAACACUGACGCUCAUGCACGAAAGCGUGGGGAGCAAACAGGAUUAGAUACCCUGGUAGUCCACGCCCUAAACGAUGUCAACUAGCUGUUGGGGCCUUCGCCUUGGUAGCGCAGCUAACGCAGUUGACCGCCUGGGGAGUACGGUCGCAAGAUUAAAACUCAAAGGAAUGGACGGGGACUCCGCACAAGCGGUGGAUGAUGUGGAUUAAUUCGAUGCAACGCGAAAACCUUACCUACCCUUGACAUGUCUGGAAUCCUGAAGAGAUUUGGAGGCGUUUCGCAAGAACCGGAACACAGGUGCUGCAUGGCUGUCGUCAGCUCGUGUCGUGAGAUGUUGGGUUAAGUCCCGCAACGAGCGCAACCCUUUGUCAAUAGUUGCUACGAAAGGGCACUCUAAUGAGACUGCCAGACAAACCGAGGAAGGUGGGGGAUGACGUCAAGUCCUCAUGGCCCUUAUGGGUAGGGCUUCACACGUCAUACAAUGGUCGGGACAGAGGGUCGCCAACCCGCGAGGGGGAGCCAAAUCCCAGAAACCCGAUCGUAGCCCGAUCGCAGUCUGCAACUCGACUGCGUGAAGUCGGAAUCGCUAGGUAAUCGCGGAUCAGCAUGUCGCGGUGAAUACGUUCCCGGGCCUUGUACGCCCGCCAUGGAGUGGGUUUACCAGAAGUAGUUAGCCUAACCGGGUAAGGAGGGCGAUUACCACGGUAGGAUUCAUGACUGGGGUGAAGUCGUAACAAGGUAA